rnacentral:piRNA from 1 species
UGUUGAGUGAUGUCAUUGACAGAGUCGGGC